rnacentral:siRNA from 1 species
AAACGGUAUUGCAGAUGUUUGUGA